rnacentral:rRNA from 1 species
UACGAGGGGGGCGAGCGUUGUUCGGAAUUAUUGGGCGUAAAGGGUGCGUAGGCGGCCUGACAAGUCUGAUGUGAAAUCCCUGGGCUCAACCCAGGGCCUGCAUCGGAAACUGUCGGGCUUGAGUAUGGGAGAGGUAAGUGGAAUUCCGAGUGUAGAGGUGAAAUUCGUAGAUAUUCGGAAGAACACCAGUGGCGAAGGCGGCACU